UGCCAGGAAGCUUUCACACAGACUCUCAACC
rnacentral:piRNA from 1 species